UAGUUUUCUCCUAUAUUUUCAUUUGAGACAUGUUUCUUUGUCUCCUCAUUUUUGGCUGCCUCUCUGUGUUUGUUUCUGUAUAUUAAGUGGAUCUGCUGUGUCUCCCAGACUUGGCAGGGUGGCCUUAUGUAGUAGGUGUCCUGUGGAACACAGUGACAUAAUCUCCCUGGUCACCUGAGCCCGGUGCUCCAGGAGUGUCCCUUGUGUAGAUUGUGUGUGCCUUUCUGUUGUCGUUGAGCCUUGGUUUAUCAAUGGAUGGGGCCGAUCCUUGGCUGACCGGAUAUGAGACUGGCCACAACCACAGUGAGAUUCGCCCCAGCGGGGCUCUGGUUCCUGCCAAGGCCACCCUUUGUGUAUGCCAUUUGUGGAGCUAAUUGAGUGGUGCUGUUAGGCUGGCCACCAGCAUGUUGGUUCUGGGGCCUCUUUGGAGAAGCUUUGGUGCAGGUGGAGGCCACCUGCUGCCUAUGCCCAGCCCAGGGACACUUGGUAGGAGAUACAAAGUCAUCUGAGGUUGACAGCUACAUGUGCUGGGCCCAGAGGUAUGUGGAAGGGGCCAAGGUGUAAGCCAUGGUUGGCUCCCACCCGCACCAGGCCUGAGGCCACUCAGCAAAGGCACAGGGCAUACCAAGGCUAACCACCAGCUGCCUGGGGUCUGCAGAUCUUGGGAAGUCUUUAAGAAAACUCUCAGCAGAGGCUGAGGUUGCCUGUGAGGCGCUGCCAAGGCAGUGUGCAGUUGGGUGGAAUGGGGUUUCAGUCGGUCACCAGGGUGAAGCUACCAGUGUUCCCCAGGUUAAUGCAGAUUUUCCUUGGCGCCCACCUGCCCCUGCAGGCUGGGUAAGGAGAGGGGUCAACACAAGUAGUGGCGGCCCUCACCCCAAAGCCACACAGUUCAGUUUCUUUCCAUAUGACUCUGGUGCCUUUUGAGCUGCUGGCCCUUCACAGAAGCUCAGGGUGAAUGCCUGGAAGCAGUUGAGUCUGUGCAUGGGCCCUUUAAGAGGACUGCUGGUUUCUAGCAGCCUUCUGUCUGACCUGGAGGUAGUCCCCACGGAGCUGGGUGUGGUGAGGUCUUGGAGUCACCAGGGUUGGGUGAGUGAUGUUUCCCUGGUUAAUGCAGAUUCAGAUUUGGCACUUGACUGCCACUGUAGGUUAUAUGAGGGGAGGGCUCCAUGGCAGCCCUCGCCUUGAAGUCACACAACUCAUUCUCUCCAUGUCUGUCUCUGGUGCCUUUCGAGCUGCUCUGAGUGCCUGUGAGCAAGUGAGUCUAUGUGUGGGCCCCUUUACAAGGAUACCUAGGUUUCCAGCCGCCCUCCUUCUCACCAUACUGGCACAGAGUCUCUGCUGGGCUUCACAGCCAGCUGUUACAGGGACAACUCUUCCAGGCAGUGGAUUCCUGGGUGAGGGAGCCGGUAUGGGGGCGCUGGGACCCCUCCUAAGUGGGGCCUCUGCUGCCGGGAUAUCCCUCCUGAUUCUCAGCUGCCAGGCGUGGGUGUGGGACCAGCCUCUUUCACCUCUCUGCCUCCUCUAUGUGGCCUCUUCUUUAUACUCUUAGUUCUUGGAGCUCCAUUUGACUAGUCUUCAGGUACACUGCUCUGCAAUUCAUUUGAGAUUUUAGUGUGGUCACGGGAGGAGGCGAGGUCAGCACUGACCUACCCCAGCAUUUUGACCAGAACCCUUUCGUGUGACCUUCUUUUGCUGUUCUAUUCCUGAUUGUUCUAGAGGUUGCAUUUACAUCCUUAACUUAUUUAAAUUCACUAAAAAUUACUAGUUAUACUUUUCCUACCUCCCAUGACAUGCAAGGAACUUAGAACACUUUAAAUUUACUCUCCCUUUCUGCCUUUGGUGCUAUAUUUGUCUUAUUUUAAAAUUCUCUGUGUGUAUGUAUUAGUGUUUUUAAACAGUCUGUCCUUAUUUAGGUUUAUCUACAUUUUAACAUAGAGUUGUAGGCUAACAAAGGGUGGUACCUGGUCCUUUGAUGGUGACGUUCCUGUUUUCUGGCUUCUGUCCCUUCCCUGUAUCCUCGCAUUUCCUUUGAAGGUUCUGUGCUUUUGUGCCAUUUGGUUCUCUUUUAUAGUUUUCAGUGAGCCAUAUAAA